AGAGUUUGAUCCUGGCUCAGGAUGAACGCUAGCGGCAGGCUUAACACAUGCAAGUCGAGGGGUAUAUGUCUUCGGAUAUAGAGACCGGCGCACGGGUGCGUAACGCGUAUGCAAUCUACCUUUUACAGAGGGAUAGCCCAGAGAAAUUUGGAUUAAUACCUCAUAGUAUAGUGACUCGGCAUCGAGAUACUAUUAAAGUCACAACGGUAAAAGAUGAGCAUGCGUCCCAUUAGCUAGUUGGUAAGGUAACGGCUUACCAAGGCUACGAUGGGUAGGGGUCCUGAGAGGGAGAUCCCCCACACUGGUACUGAGACACGGACCAGACUCCUACGGGAGGCAGCAGUGAGGAAUAUUGGACAAUGGGCGCAAGCCUGAUCCAGCCAUGCCGCGUGCAGGAUGAAGGUCCUAUGGAUUGUAAACUGCUUUUGUACGAGAAGAAACACUCCAACGUGUUGGAGCUUGACGGUAUCGUAAGAAUAAGGAUCGGCUAACUCCGUGCCAGCAGCCGCGGUAAUACGGAGGAUCCAAGCGUUAUCCGGAAUCAUUGGGUUUAAAGGGUCCGUAGGCGGUUUAGUAAGUCAGUGGUGAAAGCCCAUCGCUCAACGGUGGAACGGCCAUUGAUACUGCUAAACUUGAAUUAUUAGGAAGUAACUAGAAUAUGUAGUGUAGCGGUGAAAUGCUUAGAGAUUACAUGGAAUACCAAUUGCGAAGGCAGGUUACUACUAAUGGAUUGACGCUGAUGGACGAAAGCGUGGGUAGCGAACAGGAUUAGAUACCCUGGUAGUCCACGCCGUAAACGAUGGAUACUAGCUGUUGGGAGCAAUCUCAGUGGCUAAGCGAAAGUGAUAAGUAUCCCACCUGGGGAGUACGUUCGCAAG
rnacentral:rRNA from 1 species